AAUGUUAUAAACUUGCAUUAAAAACAGAUUUGACUAGGUUUCCAUCGAAGAACAAAGUUACCACCAUCCAGAUCUUUGACUUUAGUUAAUCAGAUUCAAAUCAGCAAACUCGUAUGGAUAUAUACAACUACACAAGCAUGGAUUUAGUCAUUUAGAGAUAAUUGAAAAUAGAUUCCGACGUUGAUCCUAAUAAAUUUCGAUUUAAUUCAGAUGCAAACACAUGAAUCUAUGCCAUAUCCUACGUUAGUUUUCAGUUAUAAAAGAAAAUAUCCUACGUUAGAUCAUAGUACAAAUAAGAACAACUCAGCAGUAAUUAAUUACACAGUUGCAACAUGUGUGUAAAGAAGCUUCCC
rnacentral:lncRNA from 1 species